UGUCAGGUCAUGGGUGCUGUGCCUCAGUAUCACCAGGGUGCUGUCAGGACCAGGGACAGAUCAGGAGGUGAAGGAAAUGUUUGCUUCAUGAGAAAAUGAGAGGGGGCUGCAAACUCCAAGACCCAGGAAUGCCUCUCCAUGGCUUCACACAUAUGUCCUACGGGUGGAGAUGGGGCUUGCUGAAGCAGGUUACUCCAAAGCACCUGCCACCUCAAGGGACUGAGCUAUGAAACCGUGACAAGUGCAUGGAGCAGCUAUUUGAGCACCAGGAAAGGAAACGAUACGCAGCAGUUUGGGAUGACCCCAGCAGAUGAAAUACAACAGAGUCAGUGUGAGACUCCUGGAUUUCCUCGGUGUCCCCUGGCUGGGAUCCAGACAGGCCAAACCUGAAGGGGCACAAAUCUGAAAACGGAAAGAAGUCCAGGAAAGUCUUCUUCUUCAGAAUUGAAAAUAGAAAAAAAGUUUAUUUGGCUCAAAGUGAGGGCUCAGUCCCCUGUACAAGCAGAUGGUCCACACUCCUGUUCUCAUUUCUCUUGCACCAGUGCCUCUCCCUGGGUUCACACUGAUGUCCUAUGAUUGGAGAUGGGGCUUCCUGCACCAGGUCACUCCACAGCCCCUGUUACCUGAAGAGGUGCAGACCAGCACUGUUCAAUCACAAUAUGAUGUGAGCCUCAUUGGAAUCCCAAUGUCUAGUCACCACAUUAGAAAUACAAAGAGAAGAAAGUAAAGGAGUCCAAAUAAUAUAUUUUAUUUACCUAGCAUACCAAAAAUAGUAUCAUUUUCAUAUGUAAUCUAAGUUCAAUUAUUUAUGUAACA